rnacentral:rRNA from 1 species
UACGUAGGGUGCAAGCGUUGUCCGGAAUUAUUGGGCGUAAAGGGCGCGUAGGCGGCUUGGCAAGUGGAAGGUGAAAUCCCUCGGCUUAACCGAGGAACUGCCCUCCAAACUGCUUCGCUUGAGACCGGGAGAGGUGAGUGGAAUUCCCAGUGUAGCGGUGAAAUGCGUAGAUAUUGGGAGGAACACCAGUGGCGAAGGCGGCUCACUGGACCGGUACUGACGCUGAUGCACGAAAGCGUGGGGAGCAAACGGG